rnacentral:rRNA from 1 species
GACGAACGCUGGCGGCGUGCUUAACACAUGCAAGUCGAACGGAAAGGCCCUGCUUUUGUGGGGUGCUCGAGUGGCGAACGGGUGCGUAACACGUGAGUAACCUGCCCUUGACUUUGGGAUAACUUCAGGAAACUGGGGCUAAUACCGGAUAGGAGCUCCUGCUGCAUGGUGGGGGUUGGAAAGUUUCGGCGGUUGUGGAUGGACUCGCGGCUUAUCAGCUUGUUGGUGGGGUAGUGGCUUACCAAGGCUUUGACGGGUAGCCGGCCUGAGAGGGUGACCGGCCACAUUGGGACUGCGAUACGGCCCAGACUCCUACGGGGGGCAGCAGUGGGGAAUAUGGCACAAUGGGCGGAAGCCUGAUGCAGCAACGCCGCGUUCGGGAUGACGGCCUUCGGGUUGUAAACCGCUUUCGCCUGUGACGAAGCGUGAGUGACGGUAAUGGGUAAAGAAGCACCGGCUAACUACGUG